rnacentral:rRNA from 1 species
UAGUUUUAUACAAUUAAUAUUUUAACAAUCCCAUCAGAACUUUGAAGUUAAGUGUAUUUGGACGAAAGUAGUACUAGAAUAGUGACCUCUUAAGAAGUUCUUGUGUUACACGCC